rnacentral:rRNA from 1 species
CGGCGGACGGGUGAGUAACGCGUGGGUAACCUACCUCAUACAGGGGGAUAACAGUUGGAAACGGCUGCUAAUACCGCAUAAGCGCACAGUACCGCAUGGUACCGUGUGAAAAACUCCGGUGGUAUGAGAUGGACCCGCGUCUGAUUAGCUAGUUGGUGGGGUAACGGCCUACCAAGGCGACGAUCAGUAGCCGACCUGAGAGGGUGAACGGCCACAUUGGGACUGAGACACGGCCCAA